rnacentral:tRNA from 1 species
GGUGGCUCAGUGGUAGAGUUCUUGUCUUGCAUGCAUGAGGCCCUGGGUUCAAUUCCUCAGCACCA